rnacentral:rRNA from 1 species
GACGAACGCUGGCGGCGUGCUUAACACAUGCAAGUCGAACGGAAAGGCCCUGCUUUUGUGGGGUGCUCGAGUGGCGAACGGGUGAGUAACACGUGAGUAACCUGCCCUUGACUUUGGGAUAACUUCAGGAAACUGGGGCUAAUACCGGAUAGGAGCUCCUGCUGCAUGGUGGGGGUUGGAAAGUUUCGGCGGUUGGGGAUGGACUCGCGGCUUAUCAGCUUGUUGGUGGGGUAGUGGCUUACCAAGGCUUUGACGGGUAGCCGGCCUGAGAGGGUGACCGGCCACAUUGGGACUGAGAUUCGGCCCAGACUCCUACGGGAGGCAGCAGUGGGGAAUAUUGCACAAUGGGCGGAAGCCUGAUGCAGCAACGCCGCGUGCGGGAUGACGGCCUUCGGGUUGUAAACCGCUUUCGACUGUGACGAAGCGUGAGUGACGGUAAUGGGUAAAGAAGCACCGGCUAACUACGUG